rnacentral:rRNA from 1 species
CAGCGCCGCGGUAAUACGUAGGUGGCAAGCGUUGUCCGGAAUUAUUGGGCGUAAAGGGCUCGCAGGCGGUUUCUUAAGUCUGAUGUGAAAGCCCCCGGCUCAACCGGGGAGGGUCAUUGGAAACUGGGAAACUUGAGUGCAGAAGAGGAGAGUGGAAUUCCACGUGUAGCGGUGAAAUGCGUAGAGAUGUGGAGGAACACCAGUGGCGAAGGCGACUCUCUGGUCUGUAACUGACGCUGAGGAGCGAAAGCGUGGGGAGCGAACAGGAUUAGAUACCCCAGUAGUCCCUGUCUCUUAUACA